rnacentral:tRNA from 1 species
GCUCUUCUAGUAUACUAAAUACAAUUGACUUCCAAUCUCUAAAAUCUGGUAAAACCCCAGAGAAGGGCA